CAAUAGCGCGCUAAAAAGUUAAACCCUUGACAUUCUGUGAGUUCUCCAAAAUCGUCCUUUUCAUCUUCGUCUUUGGAUUAGUUCUCUGCGCUUUCCAUUCGGGAGUGAUUUUUGCGGAACCAAAACCCUCAUUCGUCUUUCUGUGUAGGUUUGUUUGAAGAGGAAUCGUAUUAAGUCACCAUGAGUAGGCCAAUGGGUGAGGAUGUCACGAGUUCAACUUGGAAUGGUUUAUAUUCAUGUAGCCAAGAAUGAGUCAGAAGAAUUCAGCACUGGGCCACUUUCUGUUCUCAUGAUGAGUGUUAAAAAUAAUACACAGGUAGCUUUUAAUCUAGCAGCCUCAAGUUUUUGCCUUGCUGGUAUUUUUAUUAGGUAGAAACAUUGAAGCCUAGCAGUGUUCAACUUAAAUUGACUGUCAUACGAGCAGCUUGACAAUUGUGGACCAUUUGGGAUUACCCAAAUUUGUUUAGCUGGGGAUAGUCCAAUCAGACUAAAGGGACUUAUUAUGAACCAGUCAGCUUUAUGAAUGUUUGGCUCCAAUUAUCAAAAUUCCUAAACCCAAUUUGUGGUCCUGGGGUUGUCAGCUUUGAUACCGGCUGGUCACUCACUGAUUUUAUGUGAUAUGGGUAUGCAUUUUGCUAAUCUGCAGUUACAACUUCUGUUAGUUUGCAUUUUUGUAUUACAUAUUUUAUUGUGUAAUUGGGUGCUCAUUAACUGCCGCAACAAUAAGAAACUUCUUGGACGUGUGAGAGCAUUUGACCGACACUGCAACAUGGUUCUAGAAAAUGUCAGGGAGAUGUGGACUGAGGUGCCAAAAACUGGGAAAGGCAAGAAAAAAGCUCAACCAGUUAACAAAGAUAGAUUCAUCAGUAAAAUGUUUCUUCGAGGAGACUCUGUUAUCAUUGUCCUUAGGAAUCCAAAGUGAAAUGUUAUGAUUCUGAUGGUCUUUGUUUGUUUUUUCUUGCUUGUUCCUUUUGCGUAAGUGUGUGAAACUGUGAAUCAUAUUGAUGGUCAUGCGUCUUUGUGAGACCAGACUGUCACGUACUCAGAUUUGCUCAAACUAGUUGGUUUUUGGACAGUGUUUUUUACUUCAGAAUAUUAAAAUGUGAGAUGGUUGUGAAUUUGUGCGACUGACUCCAUAACUCUUGUCAUUUGAAUUUUAAUGGAUGGAAAUGUAACUGUGGUGCACUUCAUCUGACUUGUAAAAUUGUUCCCUUUCCAUACAAAUACUUUUUGGUAAAUAUUUCUUGAAGUGUAAAUUGGACUAGUACAAAUGCUAAUGUACGAAGAUACGAUUGUAUAUGUAACAAAACAAAUACAAUGAAAUAGAGGCAGGCAGGCAGCCAUUUCUAAUGCUUAGAGUUAAAAAGUAAUUUUAAUUGUAAGACUUGCUGUCUAUUAUCCUUAGAAUAGAAAAUACAAUCAAAAAUAAAGACAUGGAGAUUAUGGAGCUGACUGAAUCAAAACCCAACGGAACACCUCAAGAUACAUUCCUCAUGGAAAAAGGAGCCCCAUUUGCUGCUACUGCUGUUGCCACGGUAGUACUUGUAUAGUUGUCAUACAGGCGAAGACAAAUUGGUUAUCUACCAAAUAAUUAUAUUUCUGCUUCUUCUGCCCAAAGGAAAAAAAAAAAAAAA